AAUUAAUAAAAUCUUCUUGAAUAAAUCAAUGAGGAGAGUAGAAGAAGAUUGAUAUCUGCAAAUACAGUUUCUUGAAUUGUUCAAAGAAAGAAAAAUAUAGUUUCUGAGGAAAGAGAAAUGAAAUAGACAUGAGAGGAGGAUAGACUGCCAAGCACCUCCAUUAUCAGGAUUUCAUUCGGACUUUUUCUAGGGAGGCGUGUGCUCCUAUCAUGCAUACUGGGGCCCCCCGCCGACCCAUCUUCUCAUGGACCCCACAUUCCUCCAUUGCUAGCGUCCCUCUCCUUCCAUCUCUAGUGAUCUCCUCUAUAAAUUCAUGCGUGACCCAAGUGCAGAGCUAUAGCCAUUCGCACUAUAACCUUCCAGAUUUCCAAGUUUUCAAGCUUCUUUCUACGUUAAUCCACCGCCAUGUCUAGCACCUGCGGAGACUGCGACUGCGCUGACAAGAGCCAGUGCGUGAAGAAGGGC
rnacentral:misc_RNA from 1 species